CGCCAACACUGGGACUGAGAACUGCCCAGACUCCUACGGGAGGCUGCAGUCGAGAAUCAUUCGCAAUGGGCGAAAGCCUGACGAUGCGACGCCGUGUGAGCGAUGAAGGCCUUUGGGUCGUAAAGCUCUUUCGCUUGGGAAUAAGAGAUAAUGAAUAACACUCAUUAAAUUUGAAGGUACCAGGU
rnacentral:rRNA from 1 species